GAUGAACGCUGGCGGCGUGCCUAAUACAUGCAAGUCGAGCGAACAGACGAGGAGCUUGCUCCUCUGACGUUAGCGGCGGACGGGUGAGUAACACGUGGAUAACCUACCUAUAAGACUGGGAUAACUUCGGGAAACCGGAGCUAAUACCGGAUAAUAUAUUGAACCGCAUGGUUCAAUAGUGAAAGACGGUUUUGCUGUCACUUAUAGAUGGAUCCGCGCCGCAUUAGCUAGUUGGUAAGGUAACGGCUUACCAAGGCGACGAUGCGUAGCCGACCUGAGAGGGUGAUCGGCCACACUGGAACUGGGACACGGUCCAGACUCCUACGAGAGGCAGCAGUAGGGAAUCUUCCGCAAUGGGCGGAAGCCUGACGGAGCAACGCCGCGUGAGUGAUGAAGGUCUUCGGAUCGUAAAACUCUGUUAUUAGGGAAGAACAAAUGUGGAAGUAACUAUGCACGUCUUGACGGUACCGAAUCAGAAAGCCACGGCUAACUACGUG
rnacentral:rRNA from 1 species